rnacentral:rRNA from 1 species
UGCCAGCAGCCGCGGUAAGACGAACCGUCCAAACGUUAUUCGGAAUUACUGGGCUUAAAGGGUGCGUAGGCGGCGCCGUAAGUCGGGUGUGAAAUCCCACAGCUCAACUGUGGAAUUGCGCACGAUACUGCGGUGCUCGAGGGAGACAGAGGGAAGCGGAACUCAUGGUGGAGCGGUGAAAUGCGUUGAUAUCAUGAGGAACACCAGUGGCGAAAGCGGCUUCCUGGGUCUCUUCUGACGCUGAGGCACGAAAGCUAGGGUAGCGAACAGGAUUAGAUA